rnacentral:rRNA from 1 species
UACGUAGGGCGCAAGCGUUGUCCGGAAUUAUUGGGCGUAAAGAGCUCGUAGGUGGUUUGUCGCGUCUGCCGUGAAAGCCCGGGGCUUAACUCCGGGUCUGCGGUGGAUACGGGCAGACUAGAGGCAGGUAGGGGAGAACGGAAUUCCCGGUGUAGCGGUGAAAUGCGCAGAUAUCAGGAGGAACACCGGUGGCGAAGGCGCUGCUCUGGGCCGGUACUGACGCUGAGGAGCGAAAGCGUGGGUAGCAAACAGG